rnacentral:rRNA from 1 species
CCCUUAGGUGUUCUGGGCCGCACGCGCGCUACACUGAUGAAUUCAACGAGCUCCUAACCUAGGCCGAAGGGUCCGGGUAAUCUUUGAAAUUUCAUCGUGAUGGGGAUAGAUUAUUGCAAUUAUUAAUCUUCAACGAGGAAUUCCUAGUAAGCGCGAGUCAUCAGCUCGCGUUGAUUACGUCCCUGCCCUUUGUACACACCGCCCGUCGCUCCUACCGAUUGAAUGGUCCGGUGAAAUGUUCGGACCGCGACAAGGCGGACGGUUCGCUGUCAGCUUUGCUGCGGGAAGUUCAUUAAACCUUAUCAUUUAGAGGAAGGAGAAGUCGUAACA